AUCAUUUUCUUUGGGUCAUUUACUGAUAGAAGAAAAGUGGAGAAAGAAAAGAGGAAGAAAAAUAGAAAAGGGGGAGAACAAGGGAGAAGCUAGGGUUUUCAGAAAAAUUGAAGAGGUUCUGGAGUUAGUAGUUCGCGUGUGAUCUUAGUCGGAGUUUCUUCUGAGUUUUUGGAGAUUAGGUAGUAAGUCGAUGCUCUGGUCAUGUAACACUGGGUAGACUAGUUAUUUGAACUCAUGUUUCUAUUCGGUUAUGUAUUACGCUUGAUUUGAGAACCUGUUAUGUUAUUACUUGUUGUUUGAUAGGCUCUUAAGCCAAAUAUUCCGAAUUAUGUUUUAAUUUA